CACACCUCCACCUACAUCACUCUCUCGUCCUGCUCUCUCUGUGUUGUCAUUUGUUGGUUCAGUCUGUGUUGUGGUUCUACUGGUGUUACUGGUUCUGUUGGUGAAAAAAGAUGUUCAUGGGAAAUCUGAAGCAAAUCAAAAAGAAGCUGGAGAAGAUGACAUCAUCACUCAUGUCAUGUACAUUUCAACAUCAGGUCAUCAGCAACAUCCAGUCGGACAAAGCAAAGAGACUGAUUCAGCUGUGGUCUACUCAGCAGUGAGAACUGAAGACGUCAGUUAUAGAUAAGCAUCCAUCAGAACAAGGAAGCCCCAGUACAGCUGCUCUUUCUCUUUGACUUUAUGAUCUCAGAUUUCUCACCUCUGUCAGAAAUAAAGUGUUUCCUGUGAAGUUGACAGUUCCUUUAAAGAGACAUGAGCAGCAGAGUUUUAGGGCAGUUAUAGAUCUGUGUUCCUCUUUGUACUCACACAAAAUAAAACUAAUUUCUACGCAGAGUUUAUUUUAUGUCACAUCACAUGUAAUGUGUCAAUGUUCUAGAAAAUGUGUCAGUUUUUGUCUGUUUUGUGACAAUAAGUAAGAAAUAUUCCACACAGUUUAAACAGAACCUGACAGCAGCCUGUUUCUAUUGAGACAUGGAAAAAAAAAUUGAUAAUCUUUGUUUACAGAGGACUUGUUUGGUUUUUCUUGUUUGCUGUCAUAUAUCUGUUGUUUCACUGGUGUUUCU